rnacentral:rRNA from 1 species
UGGGGAAUAUUGCACAAUGGGCGCAAGCCUGAUGCAGCAACGCCGCGUGAACGAUGAAGGUCUUCGGAUCGUAAAGUUCUGUUGCAGGGGAAGAUAAUGACGGUACCCUGUGAGGAAGCCCCGGCUAACUACGUGCCAGCAGCCGCGGUAAUACGUAGGGGGCUAGCGUUAUCCGGAUUUACUGGGCGUAAAGGGUGCGUAGGUGGUCUUUCAAGUCGGUGGUUAAAGGCUACGGCUCAACCGUAGUUAGCCUCCGAAACUGGAAGACUUGAGUGCAGGAGAGGAAAGUGGAAUUCCCAGUGUAGCGGUGAAAUGCGUAGAUAUAGGGAGGAACACCAGUAGCGAAGGCGGCUUUCUGGACUGCAACUGACACUGAGGCACGAAAGCGUGGGUAGCAAACAGG